rnacentral:rRNA from 1 species
GUAGCGGCGAGUGAGCGGCAAAAGCUCAAAUUUGAAAUCUGGCACCUUCGGUGUCCGAGUUGUAAUUUGAAGAUUGUAACCUUGGGGUUGGCUCUUGUCUAUGUUUCUUGGAACAGGACGUCACAGAGGGUGAGAAUCCCGUGCGAUGAGAUGCCCAAUCCUAUGUAAGGUGCUUUCGAAGAGUCGAGUUGUUUGGGAAUGCAGCUCUAAGUGGGUGGUAAAUUCCAUCUAAAGCUAAAUAUUGGCGAGAGACCGAUAGCGAACAAGUACAGUGAUGGAAAGAUGAAAAGAACUUUGAAAAGAGAGUGAAAAAGUACGUGAAAUUGUUGAAAGGGAAGGGUUUGAGAUCAGACUCGAUAUUUUGUGAGCCUUGCCUUCGUGGCGGGGUGACCCGCAGCUUAUCGGGCCAGCAUCGGUUUGGGCGGUAGGAUAAUGGCGUAGGAAUGUGACUUUGCUUCGGUGAAGUGUUAUAGCCUGCGUUGAUGCUGCCUGCCUAGACCGAGGACUGCGAUUUUAUCAAGGAUGCUGGCAUAAUGAUCCCAAACCGCCCGUCUUG